rnacentral:rRNA from 1 species
CGUGUGUGAAGAAGGCCCUCGGGUUGUAAAGCACUUUCAGCGAGGAAGAACGCCUAACGGUUAAUACCCGCUAGGAAAGACAUCACUCGCAGAAGAAGCACCGGCUAACUCCGUGCCAGCAGCCGCGGUAAUACGGAGGGUGCAAGCGUUAAUCGGAAUUACUGGGCGUAAAGCGCGCGUAGGUGGCUUGAUAAGCCGGUUGUGAAAGCCCCGGGCUCAACCUGGGAACGGCAUCCGGAACUGUCAAGCUAGAGUGCAGGAGAGGAAGGUAGAAUUCCCGGUGUAGCGGUGAAAUGCGUAGAGAUCGGGAGGAAUACCAGUGGCGAAGGCGGCCUUCUGGACUGACACUGACACUGAGGUGCGAAAGCGUGGGUAGCAAACAGGAUUAGAUACCCUGGUAGUCCACGCCGUAAACGAUGUCGACCAGCCGUUGGGUGCCUAGCGCACUUUGUGGCGAAGUUAACGCGAUAAGUCGACCGCCUGGGGAGUACGGCCGCAAGGUUAAAACUCAAAUGAAUUGACGGGGGCCCGCACAAGCGGUGGAGCAUGUGGUUUAAUUCGAUGCAACGCGAAGAACCUUACCUACUCUUGACAUCCUGCGAAUUUGGUAGAGAUACCUUAGUGCCUUCGGGAACGCAGAGACAGGUGCUGCAUGGCUGUCGUCAGCUCGUGUUGUGAAA